AUAAACAAGUGAACAAAGGUCUCUGGUUUUCCUAGGCAGAGGACCCUGCGGCCUUCCGCAGCGUUUGUGUCCCUGGGUACUUGAGAUUAGGGAGUGGUGAUGACUCUUAAGGAGCAUGCUGCCUUCAAGCAUCUGUUUAACAAAGCACAUCUUGCACCGCCCUUAAUCCAUUUAACUCUGAGUGGACACAGCACAUGUUUCAGAGAGCACAGGGUUGGGGGUAAGGUCACAGAUCAACAGGAUCCCAAGGCAGAAGAAUUUUUCUUAGUACAGAACAAAAUGAAAAGUCUCCCAUGUCUACUUCUUUCUACACAGACGCGGCAACCAUCCGAUUUCUCAAUCUUUUCCCCACCUUUCCCCCCUUUCUAUUCCACAAAGCCGCCAUUGUCAUCCUGGCCCGUUCUCAAUGAGCUGAUGGGCACACCCCCCAGACGGGGUGGUGGCCGGGCAGAGGGGCUCCUCACUUCCCAGUAGGGGCGGCCGGGCAGAGGCACCCCUCACCUCCCGGAUGAGGCGGCUGGCCAGGCGGGGGGCUGACCCCCCCACCUCCCUCCCAGACGGGGCGGCUGGCCGGGCAGAGGGGCUCCUCACCUCCCAGUAGGGGCGGCUGGACAGAGGCGCCCCUCACCUCCUGGAUGGGGCAGCUGGCCGGGUGGGUGGCUGACCCCCCCACCUCCCUCCCGGACGGGGCGGCUGGCUGGGUGGGGGGCUGACCCCCCCACCUCCCUCCAGGACGGGGUGGCUGGCCGGGGGGGGGACUGACCCCCCAACCUCCCUCCCGGACGGGGCGACUGGCCGGGCAGAGGGGCUCCUCACUUCCCAGUAGGGGCGGCCGGGCAGAGGCGCCCCUCACCUCCUGGACGG
rnacentral:lncRNA from 1 species